AUUGAACGCUGGCGGCAGGCCUAACACAUGCAAGUCGAGCGGAAACGAUCCUAGCUUGCUAGGAGGCGUCGAGCGGCGGACGGGUGAGUAAUGCAUAGGAAUCUACCCAGUCGUGGGGGAUAACCUGAGGAAACUCAGGCUAAUACCGCAUACGUCCUACGGGAGAAAGCGGGGGCUCUUCGGACCUCGCGCGAUUGGAUGAGCCUAUGUCGGAUUAGCUUGUUGGUAAGGUAACGGCUUACCAAGGCGACGAUCCGUAGCUGGUCUGAGAGGAUGAUCAGCCACACCGGGACUGAGACACGGCCCGG
rnacentral:rRNA from 1 species